rnacentral:misc_RNA from 1 species
UAUCACCCAUAAAAAAGCUAAACAACAUUAUUCUGCUCCUUCUCUUUUUUUCAAAAGGAAACAUAGUUUGAUUGAUCGACGAUGAAGAUCGAGGUGAAAAACUCAACGAUGGUGCAGCCGGCGACGGAGACGCCGCAACUGAGGCUGUGGAACUCUAAUGUGGAUUUAGUAGUGCCUAAUUUCCACACGCCUAGUGUUUAUUUCUAUAGGCCAACGGGAUCCCCAAAUUUUUUCGACGGGAAAGUGGUUAAGGAGGCACUAAGCAAAGCCCUAGUGCCGUUUUAUCCGAUGGCUG